rnacentral:rRNA from 1 species
AGACGAACCGUCCAAACGUUAUUCGGAAUCACUGGGCUUAAAGGGUGCGUAGGCGGCAUAGUAAGUUGGGUGUGAAAUCCCACGGCUCAACCGUGGAACUGCGCUCAAUACUGCUAUGCUUGAGGGAGAUAGAGGUGAGCGGAACUAAUGGUGGAGCGGUGAAAUGCGUUGAUAUCAUUAGGAACACCAGUUGCGAAAGCGGCUCACUGGAUCUCUUCUGACGCUGAGGCACGAAAGCUAGGGUAGCGAACGGGAUUAGAAACCCCAGUAGUCC